AGAAAAAUAAGACAUAAAAACAUUAAACUCAAGGUGCAUGUUCUUAAACCAGAUGAUCAAGAAGAGAACUUUAUCACAGAAAUAAUUAACAAAGAGCACACAAAAUCAUUCAGGACCACAAAUUGUUCCAGUUUAAAAGAUAAAAGAAGAGGAUAUUUUAUUUUUCAUUGCAGAAGAUCUGGAAAUGUAUAUGAAAGAAGUCACAGAGCUGUCGGGUGUAAAGCAUACAUCUCUUUUAAAGUAAGAAAUGAUUGGAAAGGGCACAAAGUUGUUGUGCAGAGAAUAUUUGACCAGCACAAUGGUCAUGAUGUUUCUGUAGAAGAUGGUCAUUUUCAGCAGAUUCACCCUCAUCUGGUGGAUGAGAUCAAGAAGUGGAUCACAUUAGGCGUAAAACCAGAUGUCAUCCUCCUUCAAGCUCAUGAGUGGUCAAAAGCUCAUGGAGAAGUUAAUUAUCAUUCCAGAGAAUAUUUUGUUACACCAGAAGACAUACAUAAUAUCCGUACCUGUAUGCUUCGAGGGAAACAUCUUGAUAAAGAUGAUUAUAAGAGUACAGAGAAACUAUUAGCUGGUCCUUUAAAAGAUAAUGUUGUAUUUUAUCAGCCACUGGGUAAGGAUCAGGACCUUAUAAUCGUUCUCCAAACGGAGUGCAUGAGAAAAGACUUACAGGACCAUGGGAGUAACAUUGUGUUUUUUGAUGCCUCGCAUUGUGUGAAUCAAUAUUCCUUUCCACUUUUUACAUUGCUUGUGAGAGAUGACCAUGGUCAUGGAGUUCCUGUUGCAUACAUAAUAACAAGCAGUGAGACACAAGAAACCCUUAAGCUUGCACUUCGGAGGCUAAGACCUUUGUUCCCUAAGCCACCAAGGUGCUUCAUGGUUGACAAAGACAUGAGUGAAAUAAAUGCUUUGAAUGACGUUUUCCCUGAGUCGGAUGUUCUUCUUUGCUGGUACCAUGUACUCCAAGCCAUUGUUCGGUGGUUGAUGAAGUCAGAUUCCAGUGUUAGUGGGCCACAGCGUUCAAGUAUCCGGAAAGAAAUUAUUGAUUACUUCAAAAAAAUGAAAGCUUGUCCUAUGACUCACAAUACCUAUUUUUGUUAAUUGCAGAAGGCUGACUUUGACAGAGUGUCUAAAAAAUUCCUAAAGGAAUUUUCUCACUACGAAGAGCUUUGCAAUUACUUCCAGAGGUACUGGGAACCAAUAAGUCAUAGAUGGGCGGAUUAUGGACGUUGUUAUAACCAUGGGAAUUCAGAGACCAACAAUUUGAUAGAAAGGUUCUUCCAUCGACUGAAAUACCAAUUCUUAUCUGGGAUAAGAAAUCGGCGUUUGGAUGACUUGCUUGACGUCCUUCUUUGCAAGACAGAGACUUACUUUCAGGUGAUAAAACACUUGCAAUCAGCAGGAAGAAUGGCAAACUGUGUUGCCAUGAAGUUAGAGGAAACAUUUAACAAAGCAACUAGAAUGAUGGAAAAAGGCUGGAUUGACCACAUUACAAGAGAAUCAUCAGAAAUAUAUGUGUAUAAUGUGCCAUCCGAACAAGACUCCUCACUUUCCUAUAGAACCUGCCCAGCAGAGUGUUUCUGCAGUUGCCCUGUGGGUUUGAAAGGUGAAGUAUGCAAACAUUUGGUGUUGCUAGAUAUACUCAAAGAUAAGGAUGAUGCAUUCUCUGAACUUACUCUUCAGCUGGAAGCUCAUGCAAGAGCUGUACAAGACAAAGGUCACUUCAGUAUCUGUUCUGAGGUGAAGAUGGAAAUCGACGUGGAAAGCUUUUUUGGGAGAGGAACAUAUACAGAUUUGGAAACACAUUCUUGUACCUGUUGCACAUUCUCAUAUCAUGGCAUAUGUCCCUGCCUUAUUUUAGCACAACAGUUGUUUGGCAUGACCAUUAAUGAAAAAAAGUGCUGUUCUGUGAAUCAAUCAGACAAUGCUGAUGUGUAUUUUGAGAAACAAGACACAAGUUCACAAGACUUCCGGAGACUAGAAGAUGUUCUUGAAAUUGUCAAAAGAUGGCAGACUGUCCCAGAGAGCAUCAAAAGCCAAAUAAAUGAUCUCUAUGUUAACGUGCAACAAGAAGACAGAAGUCUUUUGUCAAAAAGGCAUUGCACCAUUGACACUUCAAGGAAGAUACAGCCACUCUUCCCAUGCAAUGCAAAAAAUAGAAAAAAGACUUCCAAGGUUUCCAAGAAAACUUCUGACACAAAUUCAGAAGGGUUUAAAAGAA